rnacentral:rRNA from 1 species
ACGGGAGGCAGCAGUGAGGAAUAUUGGUCAAUGGACGCAAGUCUGAACCAGCCAUGCCGCGUGCAGGAUGACGGCUCUAUGAGUUGUAAACUGCUUUUGUACGAGGGUAAACGCAGAUACGUGUAUCUGUCUGAAAGUAUCGUACGAAUAAGGAUCGGCUAACUCCGUGCCAGCAGCCGCGGUAAUACGGAGGAUUCAAGCGUUAUCCGGAUUUAUUGGGUUUAAAGGGUGCGUAGGCGGUUUGAUAAGUUAGAGGUGAAAUUUCGGGGCUCAACCCUGAACGUGCCUCUAAUACUGUUGAGCUAGAGAGUAGUUGCGGUAGGCGGAAUGUAUGGUGUAGCGGUGAAAUGCUUAGAGAUCAUACAGAACACCGAUUGCGAAGGCAGCUUAUCAAACUAUAUCUGACGUUGAGGCACGAAAGCGUGGGGAGCAAACAGGAUUAGAUACCCUGGUA